rnacentral:sRNA from 1 species
CCAUCCUGUUGCAGGGAUAUUUGAAACAUCACACCAUUCAGGAGGAAAGGAGUACUUCGCUGCAUACGCAUCUUGGAGUUUGUUGUCCUUGGCUGGACAUUGCUCAGGCUGUACGCCAUCUUGCUCAACAUGUUCCUCUUCCUCAGCCUUCUGCUUCAGCAUGAACUCAGGAGAGUCUGCUUCAGCAGCACUGCUACAUGGCUGGUGCUCCUCAUUCAGCCUGUAGUUAGCAGAUGACUCUUGUUGUUGGUUGUAACCCCACCUAGCAGGUUCGUCUUGGCUGUCACGAAAUCCAGAGACUUGGGUCUCUUCUGGUGGUGGAAGUGGGCAUCCUUGGUAAGAACCAUUGUCUGCACAAUACCUCAGGAGCCUAUCCCAAUGCCGAUCCUACAGUGAGGCUUGUCAGUUUGCAAAGAAAAGCAAGGAGUGAUUGCAUUAUGUAAGCAAGACAUCAUGAUCAAACUUAAAAAGCCAUAAAUAUGCGGUGCGCAAACACACCUUAGUGAUAAUGUGAGGGUUUCCUAUGAUAAUUAGCAAAGAUUUGGCACGAGUGAUUGCAACAUUGAACCUU